UACAUGGGGUGCAAACGUUGCUCGGAAUCAUUGGGCGUAAAGCGCGCGUAGGCGGUUAUUUAAGUUGGAUGUGAAAGCCCUCGGCUUAACUGAGGAAGUGCAUCCAAAACUGAAUAGCUAGAGUACGAAAGAGGGUCGCGGAAUUCCCGGUGUAGAGGUGAAAUUCGUAGAUAUCGGGAGGAACACCGGGUGGCGAAGGCGGCGACCUGGGUCGAGACUGACGCUGAGGCGCGAAAGCGUGGGAGCGAACAGG
rnacentral:rRNA from 1 species